rnacentral:rRNA from 1 species
UACAUGGGGUGCAAACGUUGCUCGGAAUUAUUGGGCGUAAAGGGCUCGUAGGCGGUUUGUCGCGUCGGGAGUGAAAACACCGGGCUUAACUCGGUGCUUGCUUUCGAUACGGGCAGACUAGAGGUAUGCAGGGGAGAACGGAAUUCCUGGUGUAGCGGUGAAAUGCGCAGAUAUCAGGAGGAACACCGGUGGCGAAGGCGGUUCUCUGGGCAUUACCUGACGCUGAGGAGCGAAAGUGUGGGGAGCGAACAGG